rnacentral:rRNA from 1 species
GACGAACGCUGGCGGCGUGCCUAAUACAUGCAAGUUGAGCGCUGAGGGCUGGUACUUGUGCCAACUGGGUGAGGAGCGAACGGGUGAGUAACGCGUGGGGAAUCUGCCUGUGAGCGGGGGACAACAUGUGGAAACGAAUGCUAAUACCGCAGAAAAACUUGAAACACGGUGUGGAAGGUUGAAAUAUGCAGUUGCAUGACGGAAAGAUGAUCCCGCGUUGUAUUAGCGAGGUGGUGAGGUAAAGGCGCACCAAGGCGAUGAUACAUAGCCGACCUGAGAGGGUGAUCGGCCACCUUGGGACUGAGACCCGGCCCAAACUCCUACGGGUGGCAGCAGUACGGCAUCUUCGGCAAUGGACGAAAGUCUGACCGCGCAACGCCGAGUGAGUGAAGAAGGUCUUCGGAUCGUAAAACUCUGUUGGUAGAGAAGAACGUUGGUGAGAGUGGAACGCUCCUCAAGUGACGGUAACUACCCAGAAAGCGACGGCUAACUACGUG